rnacentral:rRNA from 1 species
CCUACGGGUGGCAGCAGUGAGGAAUAUUGGUCAAUGGGCGCGAGCCUGAACCAGCCAAGUAGCGUGAAGGAUGAAUGCCCUACGGGUUGUAAACUUCUUUUAUAAAGGAAUAAAGUGAGUCACGUGUGCCUCUUUGUAUGUACUUUACGAAUAAGGAACGGCUAACGCCGUGCCAGCAGCCGCGGUAAUACGGAGGAUCCGAGCGUUAUCCGGAUUGAUUGGGUUUAAAGGGAGCGUAGAUGGGUUGUUAAGUCAGUUGUGAAAGUUUGCGGCUCAACCGUAAAAUUGCAAUUGAUACUGGCAGUCUUGAGUACAGUUGAGGUAAGCGGAAUUCGUGGUGUAGCAGUGAAAUGCUUAGAUAUCACGAAGAACUCCGAUUGCGAAGGCAGCUUACUAA